CAACCAAGACAACAGUAGUGGAACUUCUAUUCCAUGAUUGUCCACUAGCACAGUCAUGUUGAGAGACGGAGUUGUUGGGGAGUUCUGUUUAGUCGAUAGUUGAUAGAUUAGAACACUGAACCAGUGAUGAGUUUAACCUUCAAACAUUUCUCUUUCCAGCUAGAGUACUGAAUAGAACACUGAACACUUGAGUAUAGGCGUUUAACUUUUCAGUCUCUCUUCCAAGCACUCUUGUUCUUCAAAGGAUUUGGACCCAGUUCUUGGUGCUUUAGUGGACAGAUAAAAUACAUGAAAGCCUGCUACAGCUGCCAGGACUCCGGACCGAAGCCACACCCACCAUCGUCAGCCGCAACUCAGUACACAAACACACUACAAAGGAAAAUGGGGAGCAAGGAAAAACGUGCCACAU